GUGCUCGCUUUGGCAGCACAUAUACUAAAAUUGGAAAGCUACAGAGAAGAUUAGCAUGGCCCCUGUGAAAGGAUGACACUCAGAAUUGUGAAGCAUUCCGUAAUUUU
ensembl:snRNA U6 U6 spliceosomal RNA